AGAGUCGUACGGUGAAGGGCUAGCGACCCGCACCGGCCCCGAGUCAUGCGCGGCCGUCCGCGAAGCGUUGACAGGGGCACGAGAACA
rfam:Nitrospirae bacterium RIFCSPHIGHO2_01_FTLL_66_17 rifcsphigho2_01_scaffold_16213, whole genome shotgun sequence.